rnacentral:rRNA from 1 species
CCUUUGACGUUAGCGGCGGACGGGUGAGUAACACGUGGGUAACCUACCUAUAAGACUGGGAUAACUUCGGGAAACCGGAGCUAAUACCGGAUAAUAUUUCGAACCGCAUGGUUCGAUAGUGAAAGGNGGUUUUGCUAUCACUUAUAGAUGGACCCGCGCCGUAUUAGCUAGUUGGUAAGGUAACGGCUUACCAAGGCGACGAUACGUAGCCGACCUGAGAGGGUGAUCGGCCACACUGGAACUGAGACACGGUCCAGACUCCUACGGGAGGCAGCAGCG